UACGUAGGGUGCGAGCGUUAAUCGGAAUUACUGGGCGUAAAGUGUGCGCAGGCGGCCGCGCAAGUCGAGUGUGAAAUCCCCGAGCUUAACUUGGGAAUUGCGCUCGAAACUACGUGGCUGGAGUGUGGCAGAGGAAGGUGGAAUUCCACGUGUAGCGGUGAAAUGCGUAGAGAUGUGGAGGAACACCGAUGGCGAAGGCAGCCUUCUGGGCCAACACUGACGCUCAUGUACGAAAGCGUGGGGAGCAAACAGG
rnacentral:rRNA from 1 species